GACGGAGGAUGCAAGCGUUAUCCGGAAUGAUUGGGCGUAAAGCGUCCGCAGGUGGCAGUUCAAGUCUGCUGUCAAAGACCGGGGCUUAACUUCGGAAAGGCAGUGGAAACUGAACAGCUAGAGUAUGGUAGGGGCAGAGGGAAUUCCUGGUGUAGCGGUGAAAUGCGUAGAGAUCAGGAAGAACAUCGGUGGCGAAGGCGCUCUGCUGGACCAUAACUGACACUCAGGGACGAAAGCUUGGGGAGCGAAUGGG
rnacentral:rRNA from 1 species